UCGGCGGCCCUCGGCGGCCCUGGGUCCGCGGGGACACCGUGCGGCCGCAGGGCGGGCGUCGCGCAGCUCUGCUGUGGAGGCGGCAGCCCCCUCGUCACAGAGUCACAGCACUCUCUGAGUUGGAAAGGGCAAAGGACACACAUGGAUCACCGCGUCCAGCUCUUAGCCCUACACAGCGCCAUCCCCAAGAGUCACCUCUGUGCUCGCGAUCGAAAUUCAUCUGGAGCUCUGUCAGUUUCCGCUGGGGAGGGCACCGGGGCUUGUCGGUGCGAGAAGCAGAACCGCUGCCGAGCAGGGAGUAGCUGCUCUUUGCCCACGCUGCUGCUCGACAGCCCGUGUGGGCAGCGAGGGCUUCUCGUCUGUGUCUGUAGGAGCCCGCCCAGCUAAAGCUGCACCGCGGUGAGGCGAAGGGCUUGGGACCAGUGAGCGUCAGGGACAGAUCUGGCCUUGUUCAGCCACGGUAAACAAGCAGUGCGUCUUUGCUGCGGUCUGGCUGCACAGUAGUGAGCCUAAGUAAAAACGUACAGUUGUUUUUUAAGCAAACUGUGUGUUUGUGCUAGUUCUAAAUCCCAAUUCUUGGGAUUUAUUACACAGUUCUGACUUCCGAAAUGCACGCUUUUCUGUCACUUCCUGUGUGAUGAGUUUGUUCCUUGUUUUCUUGUCCAUGUCAAGUAAAUACGCUUCACCUGGAGGCCCAAGAACAGAGUUGUCCAUUAGACAAAGAAAAACACAAGUUGGGACAGUUUGCAGUUUGGAAAACUCACACAAACAUGCUGCAGUGACACUGGAAACUUCUUCCAAGCAGAGAAAAGAAAGAAAUUACAAAAUAAAAAUAUUCUGAUGCCUCUGAAACAUAAUUACCUAAUAUGCCACUGAUAUCCAGACCACUCAAAAGAUGAGGAGAGUAGUGUACUACAUUGCUUGUGCUCACUGCAUGGCAUAAGCCUCUGUUCAUCAAGAUUUCUGUGGACAGACCCGUUCAAAUGUGAAGAAUUUGACUGAAGUAGAUGACAAAUUCUUAUAUUGUUAAGUUUCAGUAGUUUGUCAGGGUCAGGUGUAAUUGAAUCUGCAAAAUUUCUCAGCCUCUGGAGUAAUAAAGUACAUCAUCACUUGCUUAGAUUUUGAAAGUCCAACCUGUGUUAGGAGUCCAAACUUUACAGUUUAUCUAAGGAUACCUGGCAUUCUUGUUUGUCUUCUAUUAUAAUUAAACAUGUUUUAGUAUAAUGUAGCAAUAAACAGAAUUAGCCUAUGAAA